GCCUCCGUGGUGUAAUGGUGACACACUCGGCCCGUAUUCAAGAUGUCCCGGUUCGAAUCCCGACGCGGGCA
rnacentral:tRNA from 1 species